UACGUAGGGUGCAAGCGUUAAUCGGAAUUACUGGGCGUAAAGCGUGCGCAGGCGGUUUUGUAAGUCUGUCGUGAAAUCCCCGGGCUUAACCUGGGAAUGGCGAUGGAGACUGCAAGGCUAGAGUUUGGCAGAGGGGGGUAGAAUUCCACGUGUAGCAGUGAAAUGCGUAGAGAUGUGGAGGAACACCGAUGGCGAAGGCAAUCCCCUGGACCUGUACUGACGCUCAUGCACGAAAGCGUGGGGAGCAAACAGG
rnacentral:rRNA from 1 species